rnacentral:rRNA from 1 species
AUACGGAAGGUCCGGGCGUUAUCCGGAUUUAUUGGGUUUAAAGGGAGCGUAGGCGGAAGGUUAAGUCUGCGGUAAAAUGGCCGUGCUCAACGCGGUCCUGCCGUGGAUACUGGUCUUCUUGAACGUGCACAAGGAAGGUGGAAUUCGUGGUGUAGCGGUGAAAUGCUUAGAUAUCACGAAGAACUCCGAUUGCGAAGGCAUCCUUCUGGGGCAUGAUUGACGCUGAGGCUCGAAAGCGCGGGUAUCAAACAGGAUUAGAUACCCUGGUAUUCCACGCCGUAAACGAUGAUGACUAACCGUCGGCGAUAGACAGCCGGUGGCCAAGCGAAAGCGAUAAGUCAUCCACCUGGGGAGUACGUCGGCAACGAUGAAACUCAAAUGAAUUGACGGGG